CAUGCAAGUCGAGGGGCAGCAUGGUCUUAGCUUGCUAAGGCUGAUGGCGACCGGCGCACGGGUGAGUAACACGUAUCCAACCUGCCGUCUACUCUUGGCCAGCCUUCUGAAAGGAAGAUUAAUCCAGGAUGGGAUCAUGAGUUCACAUGUCCGCAUGAUUAAAGGUAUUUUCCGGUAGACGAUGGGGAUGCGUUCCAUUAGAUAGUAGGCGGGGUAACGGCCCACCUAGUCAACGAUGGAUAGGGGUUCUGAGAGGAAGGUCCCCCACAUUGGAACUGAGACACGGUCCAAACUCCUACGGGAGGCAGCAGUGAGGAAUAUUGGUCAAUGGGCGAUGGCCUGAACCAGCCAAGUAGCGUGAAGGAUGGCUGCCCUAUGGGUUGUAAACUUCUUUUAUAAAGGAAUAAAGUCGGGUAUGCAUACCCGUUUG
rnacentral:rRNA from 1 species